AGGAUCGGAGAAGGGUGGCUUCACUGAAGGCUUCAAGGAGAACUGCUCAGAAUCAGCAAAGAAGACAGGGUGAGGACGGUGCCAGGCCAGGGGUCACCGUCGAAGAGUAACGCACAAGUGCAGGUGCUAACGAGCCCCCAGAGCUCUGGCGAAGCUCCUCAGUAACAGCUCCCCCUAACCGGACAUGCGGCCCAGAAAGUCCCAGAAGUUGCUGUAGAUCACAAGGGAUACCGUCAAGUAGACAGUACUGUUUCUUUGGGUGUCCCCCGAGUAGCAGAUUUGGUUAAUAAAGGCUUUGAAGGAGGAAGAAUUUUAACCAGAACCUGAAGGAUGGAUCUGACUAGAAAGGUAAGAACUUCGAGGGGGUGCCUGGCUGGCUCAGUCGGUGCCGUGUGCAACUCUUCAGCUCGGGGCUAUGAGUGCAAGCCCCCUGUUGGGUGUAGAGAUUAUUAUUAUUUUUUUUUAAUUUUUUUUUAACGUUUAUUUAUUUUUGAGACAGAGAGAGACAGAGCAUGAAUGGGGGAGGGUCAGAGAGAGAGGGAGACACAGAAUCUGAAACAGGCUCCAGGCUCUGAGUUGUCAGCACAGAGCCCAACGCGGGACUCGAACUCACGGACUGCGAGAUCAUGACCUGAGCCGAAGUCGGACACCCAACUGACUGAGCCACCCAGGCGCCCCGGGUGUAGAGAUUAUUUAAAAAUAAAACCUUAACAAAAGGAAGGUAGGGACUUGAAAGAAUAUAGCACCUCGACGAGGAAAAACACCAAACACUGGUGGGUGUCACCUUCAAUUCAGUCCAGAAUCUGACCACUUCACCUUCUCUCCUGCCACCUGUCUUGUCCCAGCCUGGCCCCCUUCAGUCUGUUUUCUCCACACAGAAGGCAGAGGAUCUGGCCAGAGGAUUAAAAAAAAAAAAAAAAAAAAAA